GAUGAACGCUGGCGGCGUGCCUAAUACAUGCAAGUCGAGCGAACGGACGAGAAGCUUGCUUCUCUGAUGUUAGCGGCGGACGGGUGAGUAACACGUGGAUAACCUACCUAUAAGACUGGGAUAACUUCGGGAAACCGGAGCUAAUACCGGAUAAUAUUUUGAACCGCAUGGUUCAAAAGUGAAAGACGGUCUUGCUGUCACUUAUAGAUGGAUCCGCGCUGCAUUAGCUAGUUGGUAAGGUAACGGCUUAUCAAGGCAACGAUGCAUAGCCGACCUGAGAGGGUGAUCGGCCACACUGGAACUGAGACACGGUCCAGACUCCUACGGGAGGCAGCAGUAGGGAAUCUUCCGCAAAGGGCGAAAGCCUGACGGUGCAACGCCGCGUGAGUGAUGAAGGUCUUCGGAUCGUAAAACUCUGUUAUUAGGGAAGAACAUAUGUGUAAGUAACUGUGCACAUCUUGACGGUACCUAAUCAGAAAGCCACGGCUAACUACGUG
rnacentral:rRNA from 1 species